AUUUAAACAUGGCAAGGUAAAAAGCAUCUCACAGAAUUAAUUUCCUCUCUUUCAUGAGAGGGAUAUAAUGCAUUAACUGAUUUGAAAACAAGAGUGAGCCUCUUUUCUAACAUGGUCACUCACUAGGCAGGCUUUCCACAGGGCACGGGAGCUGAAGUAAACAAUCACUUACAUAGAAGGAAACUCUCCAGUGCCCUGCCGUGCUGAUGCUUGUAGAGAAAGGAAAAAAACAACAAACAACCUACUAACAUUUCAUUGCAUGUUGAAAAGAAAGUGUAAGCAUUCUGUUUCAAAAGCUUUAAAGCAUAAUUGAAAUUCAACAUGCAGAUUUCUGUGUUAUUACAAUGCUGCAUGCACUAGCUCAUUUGCUGAGCAGCCAGCAUUUUAAACCACACACUGCAAGAACUUUGUGUUGGUACAAUAACAAUGUAGAAAAAUUAGGAUGACAGCACCAGUAUGCUCAUCCCCAUAAACAUUCCUCAGCUGAAACAGGAACUGCAGGGCAGUGCUAGCCUAUGUAUUAUGAGACUGGAAUAUUUCUGCUUCCAUGUGCAGAUGGAGCACAGAUCACUAGUGUGCUGACAAGCUGAACUCCAAACAAAGAGAUAAGCUACAUAUGUACUGGCAGGAUUCACUGUCAGUGGGAGCACUGAAUGAAAAGCCUGUUCUCCAAAUCAGUCCCCCAUUUAUCUACUAAAUCUUUCCAUUUCAUCCAAUCUAAAGAACCAUCGUGCGUCUGCAGCGGAGCGCUGCGCACGGAAUUGGAACGGGAGCACUCGGCUGUUUGGUGUCACUUGAGACCUGGAUCUCAUCUGUGUGGGAACGAGGCGGUGGCUGUGGCAGAGAGACAGGCUGUGUGCUGGAAAACAAAGAGAGAAUUCUGGCUGGCUGGGCUGGUGUGAAGAAUCGCUGCCGUGGGGCUGAGCUGAAGGUGUGCGAGGAGAAGGAAACAGGAGCAGAGCGAGAAGCCAGCUGUGAACAGCACCGCUCGCUUCUGCUACUGAGCGAGCUCUUCUAGAAAAUGUCAAAGAACAUCCUCAUCAUCUAAAGCCAUUUUUAAAAUGAUUGCUAAUAUGGCUCAAUUAUGUUUUCUUUCCCUGCACCCAUGUGUUUAAAUGUGAAAGAAAAUGGUGAGAGUGACUGCUAAAGAUGCUUGAUAGUGCAUAUUUGCUUGGAAGUAUAUUUUCAUAUCAAGCAAAUGUCAGUGCAAACACCUGCAAUUUGCAUUGCUUCUAACUGUAAGAAACAAACGUAAGUUGGUUCACCACCACCACAACUCUGAAUAAAGCUCCUGCUGCUCUGUGGCUGGUACUAGGUGUAUUUUUGCACUUCAAAAUGUGAAGGAAAGCACGAUGAUUAUUAACAUCAUUACUCCUUGUUCCUCCCAAAAAUGAAGUAAAUACUAAUUUAUGGUCUUCAUGAAAAACAAAUUGAAUUACAAUGGAUUUUGAAGGGAAUGUUCUGUCAAAAUUUACUCUCUUUACAAGUAAUUUGGUUAACACUUAAUUUCAAAGUAAGAGCAGAAACAAAUUAAAACAUGAUGC